UACGGAGGGUGCAAGCGUUAAUCGGAAUUACUGGGCGUAAAGCGUGCGCAGGCGGUUUGUUAAGUCUGUUGUGAAAUCCCCGAGCCCAACUUGGGAAUUGCAAUGGAUACUGGCAGGCUGGAGUAUGGUAGAGGAAGGUGGAAUUCCCGGUGUAGCAGUGAAAUGCGUAGAGAUCGGGAGGAACACCAGUGGCGAAGGCGGCCUUCUGGACCAAUACUGACGCUCAUGCACGAAAGCGUGGGGAGCAAACAGG
rnacentral:rRNA from 1 species